GCCCAGGUGGCGGAACUGGUAGACGCGCCAGCUUCAGGUGCUGGUUUCUGAAAGGAAGUGGAGGUUCGAGUCCUCUCCUGGGCACCA
rnacentral:tRNA from 2 species